rnacentral:misc_RNA from 1 species
GAAAUGCGAUAAGUAGUGUGAAUUGCAGAAUUCAGUGAAUAAUCGAAUCUUUGAACGCACAUUGCGCCCCUUGGUAUUCCAUGGGGCAUGCCUGUUCGAGCGUCAUCUACACCCUCAAGCUCUGCUUGGUGUUGGGCGUCUGUCCCGCCCCCGCGCGUGGACUCGCCCCAAAUCCAUUGGCAGCGUUCCUUGCCCCCUCUCGCGCAGCACAUUGCGCUUCUCGAGGGCGGCUCCGGGACGCGAUCCAGCAAGAUGACCACCGUCUUUGACCUCGGAUCAGGUAGGGAUACCCGCUGAACUUAAGC